AGCCAGGCUCUCUGAAGAGAAAAGCUAUUUUCUCAGAACGCCUCCAGAGCCGGGUUUUAGAUCUCAGGAGCCGAAGCUGGGAGGACCCAUGGGAGGGUGAUCCGUAAGGCUCGACAUGGAGACCCCCACGGGAGCAAGAGGUGGGUGCAGAGUGGUGGAGAGAGGUGGCCAAGGGAAGAGGUCCGGUUAGCGGGCCCAGGGCGGCCCACCAGGCCCACCCUCUCUGGCAAGGUGCCCAGAGAGCAACGGAGAGUCUGCAGACUCCGGGAGGCCCAGCCGGGCUGGAGUCCUGAGGUGACCUGGUGGGGCGAGGGGGCCACUGGAGUGGGCCCUGGGGACCAGGACCAGUGAGCGCGGCACAUCACUCAAGGACCAGCAGACGCCAAAGCAGGAUGCCCAGAGUCCCAAUGGCAGUGCUACUCCUCAGGAGGCACAGAGGGCCCAGGGGGCAGCUGAGUGACAAGAGGUGAGGAGUGAAAAUUGCAAUUUGAGAACCUCUUUGGUCAGCUCUUGGAAGAAAACUAAUUCUCUCCUGUUAAAACAAGCUCAAGGUUUUUCAAGAAGCCAGCGUGAGCAGCUUGGAUUCCAAAGCCGAGACAGAAACGGGGCCGUGCUUGCCAUUCUGCUACGAGCUGGACGGGGUUCUCAUCUGCUAGAGCGGGAUUUCACAGUCACCAGGACAUCGCCAUGUGUCGCUGCAACACUCGGAGGGUACUCUGAACUGGGAUCCGGCUCUGGCUGCUUUCCCUGCCAGGCCCCAAACUGGCUUGCGUACAAUUUAGCCUGCAUGUUCCACCGUGCUCUUCAUUUACAGUAAGAGAAAAACCUCGGCUCGGGCGAGGAAGUCAAAGACCACGAGGCCAUGGCAAUAAGCAUGAAGUUGAUUUCACUUGGUUUCACAAAAGCCACUUCGGCCUUCCUGACUGAUGUAACGACACCGGCAAAUUGUCCUUGAUUAAACUGUUAUUAUUCUCUUGCAUUUAUUUAGCUGUUUGCAUACUCCUCGGGAAGAUAAAUGUGUUGGGGCAAAAGGAAAGAUCCCAUCCUUUCCCGAUUGUACUACAGGUACAUUUUUUUCCUCUCCUAACUCUGACCUUCUUGGGGCUCCUGUGAUAUCUCCCCAAUAUGUCCCAUAUUCCAGAACUUCCCAACAAAAAGAGUGGCCAUUAGAUACAAACAAGCAAAAAAAAAAAAAAAAAAAAAAAAAGCUUAGUUUUUUAGGGAAAAAUUAGACAAUAUGCCAUAUACAGCUUUUGACUUUGGGAAAAUUGUGGUUGGGUCUGGUAAUUUCUACUUGCCAGGAGGGAAUUUUAAAUCAGAUGCCCCUAGCCUCCUACUCUAGGGAUAGAAAGGCUUUCAUUUGGGGGCCGAAGCUAUAGUACUGGGUGCCGGGAACUGUGUGAUUUGGAGGUUCAUAGAAGGCACUGAGGAACCAGCUUAUAAAAAUGGAGGCUUUCUCUUUUUGUAGCAAAUAUACACCAUUCUAUUUCGGUAUAGAGGAAAUAUGGACGGCCUCAACGAUCGCUUUUCAUGCACUAUUUAGAUUUUGAGCAUCUCAGAAGUCCUUUUAUGCCUUCUGCUCUCCUUGGGAUGCUGGAGAGAAUAAAGAUUUCUCCUUCCCAAAACGCACGUUUCAUGAUAGGAACUGUCACCAAACUCAAUAAACACCCGAAGCCCGCACACCUUCUCACUCAUCCGCCCCCAAAAGAGACCCAAACCGCUUUGGGGUGGGGGUGGGGAGGGCUUGCUGCGUGUGUAUGCGCUGGUGCGCCCGUGAUAUUAAGCAGCUAACAACGGCCUGAGAAUUAAGUUACCACAAUUAGGAAUUAGAAGCAG